AGAGCGAACGCUGGCGGCAGGCUUAACACAUGCAAGUCGGGCGGGCGUAGCAAUACGUCAGCGGCAGACGGGUGAGUAACGCGUGGGAACGUACCUUUUGGUUCGGAACAACACAGGGAAACUUGUGCUAAUACCGGAUAAGCCCUUACGGGGAAAGAUUUAUCGCCGAAAGAUCGGCCCGCGUCUGAUUAGCUAGUUGGUAGGGUAAUGGCCUACCAAGGCGACGAUCAGUAGCUGGUCUGAGAGGAUGAUCAGCCACAUUGGGACUGAGACACGGCCCAAACUCCUACGGGAGGCAGCAGUGGGGAAUAUUGGACAAUGGGGGCAACCCUGAUCCAGCCAUGCCGCGUGAGUGAUGAAGGCCCUAGGGUUGUAAAGCUCUUUUGUGCGGGAAGAUAAUGACGGUACCGCAAGAAUAAGCCCCGGCUAACUUCGUGCCAGCAGCCGCGGU
rnacentral:rRNA from 1 species